rnacentral:rRNA from 1 species
UACGUAGGGUGCGAGCGUUUGUCCGGAAUUACUGGGCGUAAAGAGCUCGUAGGCGGCUUGUCGCGUCGUCCGUGAAAACCUGCAGCUCAACUGCAGGCUUGCGGGCGAUACGGGCAGGCUAGAGUUCGGUAGGGGAGAACGGAAUUCCUGGUGUAGCGGUGAAAUGCGCAGAUAUCAGGAGGAACACCGGUGGCGAAGGCGGUUCUCUGGGCAUUACCUGACGUGAGGAGCGAAAGUGUGGGGAGCGAACAGG